rnacentral:lncRNA from 1 species
AAACGCCAACAGGCCCCAAACGAGCUGAGAAAAUAUCCAACUUCAAAGGUUUUGCACAAAUCAUCUUAAAGGCCUGACCUAAGCCCGGAAAGCCGGAAUGAAGCCCAGAAAUCAGUCCUCAUUUCAUUGCCGUUUAGCCAAGACACCUUUCCCGUCCACAGAUCACAUCUGCCCCCUUCUGCCCCCGCCCAGGUCCCAACCACCUUGAGACACCUGCGUGAUCCACCCUCAAAGCAAUGAGUUAGGAGCCGCACUCCUGGUCCUUGGCUGGUGGCUUCAGUGU